rnacentral:rRNA from 1 species
GAUGAACGCUGGCGGCGUGCCUAAUACAUGCAAGUCGAGCGGACGGACGAGAAGCUUUUGUCUCUGAUGUUAGCGGCUGACGGGUGAGUAACACGUGGAUAACCUACCUCUUUGACUGGGAUGACUUCGUAAAACCGGAGCUACUACCGGAUGAUAUUUUGAACCGCUUGGUUCAAAAGUGAUAGACGGUCUUGCUGUCACUUAUAGAUGGUUCCGCGCUGGAUUAGCUAGUUGGUAAGGUAACGGCUUACCAAGGCAACGAUGCUUAGCCGACCUGAGAGGAUGAUCGGCCACACUGGAACUGAGACACGGUCCAGACUCCUACGGGAGGCAGCAGUAGGGAAUCUUCCGCAAUGGGCGAAAGCCUGACGGAGCAACGCCGCGUGAGUGAUGAAGGUCUUCGGAUCGUAAAACUCUGUUAUUAGGAAAGAACAGAUGUGGAAGUAACUGUGCACAUCUUGACGGUACCUAAUGAGAAAGCCACGGCUAACUACGUG